GCCCCGGUAGCUCAGUCGGUAGAGCACCUGAUUGUGGUGAGCGAAGCGCCUAGUAAAAACUUCCAGGAGGUCGCAGGAUCGAAGCCUGCCCGGUGGCC
rnacentral:tRNA from 1 species